ensembl:lncRNA
UGGGGUAUUGUGCACAGAAAAAGUGAAGAAGAGCUUUAUUUUUGAUGGACCUUCUUUUUUAAACCCUAGAAUGAGAAGCAGUGAGAUAAUGUCAGGUCGUGGUCUGUAGUUGAGAUAAUGUCAGGUAGUGUCUGUAGUUGAGAUAAUGUCAGGUAGUGUCUGUAGUUGAGAUAAUGUCAGGUAGUAGUCUGUAGUUGAGAUAAUGGCAGGUAGUGUGUGUAGUUGAGAUAAUGUCAGGUAGUAGUCUGUAGUUGAGAUAAUGUCAGGUAGUAGUCUGUAGUUGAGAUAAUGGCAGGUAGUGGUCUGUAGUUAUAUGAAUAGAAGCAGUGAGAUAAUAUCAGGUAGUGUCUGUAGUUGAGAUAAUGUCAGGUAGUAAUCUGUAGUUGAGAUAAUGGCAGGUAGUGUCUGUAGUUGAGAUAAUGGCAGGUAGUGUCUGUAGUUGAGAUAAUGUCAGGUAGUGGUCUGUAGUUGAGAUAAUGUCAGGUAGUAGUCUGUAGUUGAGAUAAUGUCAGGUAGUAGUCUGUAGUUGAGAUAAUGGCAGGUAGUGGUCUGUAGUUAUAUGAAUAGAAGCAGUGAGAUAAUAUCAGGUAGUGUCUGUAGUUGAGAUAAUGUCAGGUAGUGUCUGUAGUUGAGAUAAUGUCAGGUAGUAGUCUGUAGUUGAGAUAAUGUCAGGUAGUGGUCUGUAGUUAUAUGAAUAGAAGCAGUGAGAUAAUAUCAGGUAGUGUCUGUAGUUG